rnacentral:rRNA from 1 species
UACGUAGGGCGCAAGCGUUGUCCGGAAUUAUUGGGCGUAAAGAGCUCGUAGGCGGCUUGUCACGUCGAUUGUGAAAGCCCGAGGCUUAACCUCGGGUCUGCAGUCGAUACGGGCUAGCUAGAGUGUGGUAGGGGAGAUCGGAAUUCCUGGUGUAGCGGUGGAAUGCGCAGAUAUCAGGAGGAACACCGGUGGCGAAGGCGGGUCUCUGGGCCGUAACUGACGCUGAGGAGCGAAAGCGUGGGGAGCGAACAGG